GACGAACCGUGCGAACGUUAUUCGGAAUCACUGGGCGUAAAGGGCGCGUAGGCGGCUCAUGAAGGCUGUGGUGAAAGUCCGGGGCUCAACCUCGGAUCGGCCGUGGCGACUCGUGGGCUGGAGCACUGUAGAGGCGGGUGGAAUUCCGGGUGUAGCGGUGGAAUGCGUAGAGAUCCGGAGGAACACCAGUGGCGAAGGCGGCCCGCUGGGCAGUGGCUGACGCUGAGGCGCGACAGCGUGGGGAGCAAACAGG
rnacentral:rRNA from 1 species